UACGAAGGGGGCGAGCGUUAUCCGGAAUUACUGGGCGUAAAGCGUGUGCAGGCGGGCUGGGUAAGUCCGCUCUGAAAGCCCGGGGCUCAACCCCGGGAGGCGGGUGGAUACUGCUCAGCUCGAGUCCGGAAGAGGAGUGUGGAAUUCCUGGUGUAGCGGUGAAAUGCGCAGAUAUCAGGAGGAACACCGAUGGCGAAGGCAGGUCUCUGGGCCAUAACUGACGCUGAGAAGCGAAAGCAUGGGGAGCGAACAGG
rnacentral:rRNA from 1 species